rnacentral:lncRNA from 13 species
AUGAGAUGUAGUCAUUGUUCUAGGGAUGGGGGUGUGGUGAGCAUGUGGGUCUGGGCAGANNNNNNNNNNCUCCCUCCCUCCCUCCCUCCACACCUUCCUUCCCUUCUUCCCUUCUUCCCCCUCACUCACUCACUCACUCAGUCACUCACUCUCUUGCUCCUUGGCCACUACAGUAUAACCCCUCACAGCGCAGUGCUACCUUCUGUCUACCCAGUGUUCUCCAUGUCUCAUCUCAGAUACCACACAUUCUCGCUGCUCGCCUUCUCCUCUGUGAUGAGUCUAGUUAACCUUUUUACCAGAUGGUACACUGCUGAUACCACCUUGAGUAGUCAGUUUCCCCUCGAGAAUUAACUGACUAUUCUAUAUUCUCUAACAUCUAAUGUCCUCAUCUUUUUUGUUGUUGUUCUACAGUCCUUUGUCAAGCCAGGUGUGGUGUUCAUGGCAACCAUGGGAGGGAAGGUGAGAAUGUGUAUUAGGUUGACAGUCCCAACGUGGCGUUACACUCUUCAUUCCAGUCUUACCCCAGUUCAAAUCCACUAUAGAACAGUCCCAAUGUGGCUUUACACUCUUCAUUCCAGUCUUACCCCAGUUCAAAUCCACUACGGAACAGUCCCAACAUGGCUUUACACUCUUCAUUCCAGUCUUACCCCAGUUCAAAUCCACUACGGAACAGUCCCAACAUGGCUUUACACUCUUCAUUCCAGUCUUACCCCAGUUCAAAUCCACUACGGAACAGUCCCAACAUGGCUUUUUGUUAGUGUUUAAAGACUUUGCGGUACUUUAUAAACCAUUCACAGUAAAUUGUUAUACAGUUGAAGUCGGAAGUUUAAACACACCUUAGCCAAAUACAUUUAAACUUAGUUUUUCACAAUUCCUGACAUUUAAUCCUAGGAAAAAAUUCCCUGUUGUCACGACUUCUGCCGAAGUCGAUGCCUCUCCAUGUUCGGGCGGUGCUCGGCAGGCGACGUCACCGGUCUUCUAGCCAUCAUUGAUCCAUUUUUAAUUUUCCAUUGUUUUUGUCUUGUCUUCCUUCACACCUGGUUCCAAUCCCAUCAAUUACCUGUUGUGUAUUUAACCCUCUGUUUCCCCUCAUGUCCUUGUCAGAGAUUGUUUGUUGUUCAUUUAUCGUGUUGUUUGUGUUGGUGCGCGACAGGGCCUCGUUCCCACUUUGUUUUCAUUAUUGUCAUGGUUUUGGAGCUGUGUUGUUAAGUUAUUAAACUACUCCAUUUUACCAAGUUCGAUUCUCCUGCGCCUGACUUCCCUGCCACCUGUACACGCGUAUAUGACACCUGUCUUAGGUCAGUUAGGAUCACCACUUUAUUUUAAGAAUGUGAAAUGUCAGAAUAAUAGUAGAGAGAAUGAUUUAUUUCAGACUUUAUUUCUUUAAAUAUACUUCAUUAGUAUUUGGUAGCAUUGCCUUUAAAUUGUUUAACUUGGGUCAAACGUUUCGGUUAGCCUUCCACAAGCUUCCCACGUUAAGUUGGGUGUAUUUUGGCCCAUUCCUCCUGACAGAGCUGGUGUAACUGAGUCAGGUUUGUAGGCCUCUUUGCUCACACACGCUUUUUCAGGUCUGUCCACCCAUUUUCUAUAGGAUUGAGAUCAGGGCUUUGUGAUGGCCACUCCAAUACCUUGACUUUGUUGUCCUUAAGCCAUUUUGCCACAACGUUGGAAGUAUGCUUGGGGUCAUUGUCCAUUUGGAAGAUCCAUUUGCGACCAAGCUUUAACUUCCUGACUGAUGUCUUGAGAUGUUGCUUCAAUAUAUCCACAUAAUUUUCCAUCCUCAUGAUGCCAUCUAUUUUGUGAAGUGCACCAGUCCCUCCUGCAGCAAAGCACCCCCACAACAUCAUGCUGCCACCCCCGUGCUUCACGGUUGGGAUGGUGUUCUUCGACUUGCAAUCCUCCCACUUUUUCCUCCAAACAUAACGAUGGUCAUUAUGGCCAAACAGUUCUAUUUUUGUUUCAUCAGACCAGAGGACAUUUCUCCAAAAAGUACCAUCUUUGUCCCCAUGUGCAGUUACAAACCGUAAUCUGGAUUUUUUCAUGCCGGUUUUGGAGCAGUGGCUUCUUCCUUGUUGAGCGGUCUUUCAGGUUAUGUCGAUAUAAGACAUGUUUUACUGUGGCUAUAGAUACUUUUGUAACAGCAAAGGUCCAUUGCUGUUGUUCUGGGAUUGAUUUGCACUUCUUGUACCAAAGUACGUUCAUCUGUAGGAGACAGAACGCGUCUCCUUCCUGAGCGGUAUGACGGCUGCGUGGUCCCAUGGUGUUUAUACUUGCGUACUAUUGUUUGUACAGAUGAACGUGGUACCUUCAGUCAUUUGGCAAUUGCUCCCAAGGAUGAACCAGACUUGUGGAGGUCUACAACUUUUAUUUCUCAGGUCUUGGCUGAUUUCUUUUGAUUUUUCCAUGAUGUCAAGCAAAGAGGCACUGAGUUUGAAGGUAGGCCUUGAAAUACAUCACAGGUACACUUCCAAUUGACUCAAAUUAUGUCAAAAGGACGUCAACACAAAUAAUGUCAAGUCCUAACAGACUUGCCAGAACUAUAGUUUGUUAACAAGAAAUUUGUGGAGUGGUUGAAAAGCAAGUUUUAAUGACUCCAACCUAAUUGUAUGUAAACUUCUGACUUCAACUGUAUGUCCUCUGCAUACUGUAUGUUUAACAACAGUCCAUCCAGGUCUGGUUGAACUAGAUUGACAGAGGACACAGGAUUGGAGCCGGAUUUUGAGAUGAAAUAGUGUGUGUGCAGUUAACACCGCAGAUUAGCCAAGACUGAAUCCCCUGAAUCCUCAAACACACACACACACACACACACACACACACACACACACACAC